AAACAGUUCCCGCUUUUGUUUUGGCCUGGCUACGUACUGUUGAGGGAAGUCCUUCUGAAUUCGAUGAUUUGGACUGCUUAGCCCCCACUGAUGUUUACACUACCACCAUCCCCACUCUUAUUCAGGCAGCUGAGCUCACACUUACUUGGAUGGUAGGAUGUGCCAGGGUAAUAGCCUCCUCUUCCAGUCCUGGGUGAAGUGGACAUCUCUCCUUGCCACUUGGACUUCCAGAUCCCUGUCUGAAAAGCAGGGUGCCAAAGUCUAUGCUAAAUGGGAAAGCAAAGCUUGAAGACCUGAAUAAAGUGUAAAUCCACAAAAAAAAGCAAAGUAACGCAGAGAAACUGUGAGCAUCCAAGGAAGCACAAAAUAAGUAAGCAUUAAGGAAGCAGGAGCAGAGCAUUGAUGUGUGCCUGGUUCUCCUGCGUGAGAUGAUUGCUUGUUCCUGGUGACAGCAUUGCAAUGAAAGCCAUUGGUGAUCUCCAAAGUGCAGUAAUAAAAUGCUGAAGCAUAGUUUAUAUGAGUCUGAGAUGUGCCAUGAUGAUGCUGAUGCUUUACCAACACCAACCUCACUAAGCAGACGGUGUAGGCAGUCGCUGCCAUUGGAGUGUACCUUGCAGAAUGCCAGCCAAAAUGCUUGCCCUUGGUAACCUGCAGUCCCCAGAUUUCUAUUAUUAUUACUCCCUACUGCCUGCAAGUACAAGAUGCAGGGUACGAUGGAAUGUGGGCACAUUGUUCUGAUGGCACCACAUUAUCAACUCUGCCCUAUAAUGGAACAAGAUUGGCUUCCUGUCCUUCAGCUUCCACCUGGUGUUUUGACCAUUGAUAAUGCGCCAUGAAGGUCAAUGCCCCCUGUUCUGGUUGCAGUUAUGUUGCAUUUAUUCCAUCACAAUCUAGUAUUUUAACAUAAGUGGAUGGCUACAAGGUGACAAAGGCUUCAAGUAGCACUUAAAGCACUGCAGGUUUGCUUUAUGUAGAUACAUGAGUGCAAUGCACACAGCAAUCUUAAUAAUGAGCAGGCAGUGCGAAUAUAGCAUUGAAUGGACAUGACAUAAUUGACCAAGGUGGCUCCACCUACAUAUUUUUGAGGGCUAUCUAAUUUAGCCCCUAUGGUCAUUGAUGUCUAACAUGGAUUGGUAUCUAUUCCAUAUAAAAUGAUUAGCAGGGAGAUGGGUUUCUUCAAUUUGAUCAUAUAAUCUCAGGCAAGAUGAUGUUUAAAUCUGUCUUAAUCAUUUGAAAGUUCUCCUGACAUUGCUCCACAUCCAAUUACUGAUUUUCCACUUUAUAUCACAAAAUAUUUCUGUUCAACGUCCUGCUCAGAUGAAGAGUCAACUAGACUCGAAAUGUUAACUUGCUCUGUCUCCAAGGUUGUUGCCUGACUUGCUGUGAUCUUCAACAUUUUUUGGGGGUUUCAGCCUAGUAUACUGUAAUCUAAUCUCACCAACAUCCUUCAGUCCUACUCAUCCUUUCCCCUUGAAUGAUCUGAGGAUCAGCAUUCACUGGCCCUUCUCCAUCUUAUGAUCAACAAUUGUUGUGAACAAUGCUUCUGCCUAAGAAUAGAUAUCGCAGCAAUCAUCUCAUGAACAUGUCAUAUUACUAAUUUGUUACUGUGAUUGAAAUUAUAACUUUAACAGUGGGUGAAGUGCCUGGCUUGUCUCGAAUAAUAAGUAUUCAAAAAGUGCAGGGUAAAAGUGCCAAAAAAAUCUGAAAUAAAUGUAGUGUGUGAUGGAAGCACAGAACAAAGUCAGCCUGCAUCUGAAAAUUAAAAAAUGUGUUUAACAUUUUGGGCAUAUCGUCACAAACCACUGAAAUAUUCAACUCAAACAUUUUACCUGAUUCAGAAGCCGAACACCAUCUGUACAAUUUUCAGUAUUAUUUAAUUCAUCAAUCUGUCUGUCCAUUAACAAUGAUAUAAAAGUAACACUUCAUUCACUCUGAUCAGUAAAAUGUUAUCGCAAUUUCUGAUUGCACAGAAGUAGCUGUUUGGUGUAACACCAAAUGAUAAUCAACAGUGGUGCCUUUAACUUUCAACUUUUAAUUUGCUGAAAUUAGAUGUAUUGAUUUUGAAAUUGUUUCUGAAGGUUUGAUGAAUUAUAUCGAAGUUAUCUUAAAGUUAGGAGUUAUUAUUUAUAAUUAAUUUGCUGACAUCUCCGUGUAGGCACUAAACCUUUUAUGUCUAAUCUCAUGCUGGCAUGUAUUAUUUAGUUAAGAUCAGAGGAGAUCUUGAAUUGUUAGCUCUUGGCUGAGUUUAUGUCCUGCAGUAGAUGAAUCUACUGGCUAAAUGUGAAGGGAUGCUUUCAUGAACUAUGGAAGAGAAGCUCUGGUCAAGAUCCAAGUAUCUAUACACUAUGCAACAUUUUCAAAUUGUAGACCAGAAAUUAUGUAGACAGUC